rnacentral:rRNA from 1 species
CGGAGGCAGCAGUGAGGAAUAUUGGUCAAUGGGCGCAAGCCUGAACCAGCCAUCCCGCGUGAAGGAAGAAGGCGCUAUGCGUUGUAAACUUCUUUUUCAGGGGAAGAAUGUCCGAUACGCGUAUUGGAUUGACGGUACCUUGAGAAUAAGCAUCGGCUAACUCCGUGCCAGCAGCCGCGGUAAUACGGAGGAUGCGAGCGUUAUCCGGAUUUAUUGGGUUUAAAGGGUGCGUAGGCGGAUAGAUAAGUCAGUGGUGAAAUACUGCAGCUUAACUGUAGAAUUGCCGUUGAUACUGUCAGUCUUGAGUAUGGAUAAGGUAGGCGGAAUGUGUAAUGUAGCGGUGAAAUGCUUAGAUAUUACACAGAACACCGAUUGCGAAGGCAGCUUACUGAGCCACAACUGACGCUGAGGCACGAAAGCGUGGGGAGCGAACAGGAUUAGAUACCCCAGUAGUCUG